rnacentral:rRNA from 1 species
AUUGAACGCUGGCGGCAGGCCUAACACAUGCAAGUCGAGCGGAUGAAGGGAGCUUGCUCCUGGAUUCAGCGGCGGACGGGUGAGUAAUGCCUAGGAAUCUGCCCGGUAGUGGGGGAUAACGUCCGGAAACGGGCGCUAAUACCGCAUACGACCUUAGGGAGAAAGUGGGGGUUCUUCGGACCUCACGCUAUCAGAUGAGCCUAGGUCGGAUUAGCUAGUUGGUGGGGUAAAGGCCUACCAAGGCGACGAUCCGUAACUGGUCUGAGAGGAUGACCAGUCACACUGGAAAUGAGACACGGUCCAGACUCCUACGGGAGGCAGAAGUGGGGAAUAUUGGACAAUGGGCGAAAACCUGAUCCAGCCAUGCCGCGUGUGUGAAGAAGGUCUUCGGAUUGUAAAGCACUUUAAGUUGGGAGGAAGAGAAGUAAGUUAAUACCUUGCUGUUUUGACGUUACCAACAGAAAAAGCACCGGCUCACUUCGUG